rnacentral:lncRNA from 1 species
UUUUUAGCCUCUACAAGUCACAUGAACAGAAAACUUUACUUAAGAAUUGUCAUUACAUGACUCAAAAUGAGCUCUUAAUGGGUGGCUUGUAGAGGAUGAACUCGCCUUUCACAAGCUUUGAUUUUUUUUCAUUGUUCACCCUGCCGCUACCCAGUUGAGGGACAGUGCCCAUGCCCUCAGGGCUAAUGGUGAUCAUCCAAUGUCCAAAGUGCAUUACUUUGAAUAACUAACUUAAGACAGAAUUGGAACAAUAUUUCCAACAGACUCAUAUUUCAACAUUUUUGGAUUUGGAACUCCAUAUAAAGCAAGCUUUUGUACUGUACCUUCUAGGUAUGGGGCAAUUCUAGUGGAUAUACUGUAAGCUUAUUAUGCAGAUAAAAAUUUCUCUAUUUGCACAAAACCUCAGGAUUAGUGUUGGUAUCAAGAACUUGGGAUUUGUUUGUACGACGGAGGGGUAGGUUAAGGAAACGAGACUAUUCCUUGAGAAAAGUUUUAAGUAGUGAGUGGUACGUCCUCAUUAUAUUGUUUGAUAAAACGUCGAAGGAACCAAAGGGGAAUGAAGGCCACUUCAUACAUCUUAGAGUUGACUAGAAUUUGAAAUAUAUUGAUUAUAGUGCGGGUGCAGAAUACCUUAGGGUUAGUGUUGGUAUCAAGAACUUAGGCUUUGUUCGUAUGAGGGAGGGGUAGGUUGAAGGAAACAAGACUAUUCCUUGAGAGAAGUUACCAGUAGUGAGUGGUGUACCCCUCAUUAUCUUGUUUGAUAAAACGUGGAAGGAACUGAAGGGGAAUGAAAGCAACUUCAUAUUGUUGUUACUACGA